rnacentral:rRNA from 1 species
AGUAAAAGUGAGAGUCGUCGCUAGGAUCGUGAGUCGAUGCUGGGAUCAUUACAGAGUUGCAAAACUCCCUAAACAUGCUCGCUUGUUACCUGAAACCGUUGCUUCGGCGGGCGGCGCCACACCGGCGCCCCCCUAAACCAGGGCCCCAACGUGGUUACGCCGGAGGCCAUGCUCGUCUGUAUUUUUCACGGCCUCUCUGAGUCUGUACUUGAAUAAGUCAAAACUUUCAACAACGGAUCUCUUGGUUCUGGCAUCGAUGAAGAACGCAGCGAUGCUGCCGAAGUAAUGUGAAUUGCAGAAUUCAGUGAAUCAUCGAAUCUUUGAAUGCUGAUUGCGCCCGCCAGUAUUCUGGCGGGCAUGCCUGAUGCUCGCUGAUAGUUGCCAUCAAGCCCCAGGCUUGUGUUGGGGACCUGCGGCUGCCGCAGGUGGCGUGGAUGAGUGGCGGGCUCGCUGUCACACCGAGCGUAGUAAAUCACCUCGCUUAGGGCGUGCUGCGGGCGCCGGCCGUAAAAAGCCAAUGCUCGCUGUAGAUGUCGCUGGAUCAGGUAGGAAUACCCGCUGAACUUAAGCAUAUCAAUAAGCGGAGGA